GACGAACCGAGCGACCGUUGUUCGGAAUCACUGGGCUUAAAGGGCGCGUAGGCGGGUACGCAAGUCUGUGGUGAAAUCCCCCGGCCCAACCGGGGAACUGCCGUGGAUACUGCGUGUCUAGAGCGAGGUAGGGGCGUGCGGAACAGAUGGUGGAGCGGUGAAAUGCGCAGAUAUCAGGAGGAACACCAAUUGCGAAGGCAGCUCGCUGGGACGUUACUGACGCUGAGACGCGAAAGCGUGGGGAGCAAACAGG
rnacentral:rRNA from 1 species